rnacentral:rRNA from 1 species
AUUGAACGCUGGCGGCAGGCCUAACACAUGCGAGUCGAGCGGAUGAAGGGAGCUUGCUCCUGGAUUCAGCGGCGGACGGGUGAGUAAUGCCUAGGAAUCUGCCUGGUAGUGGGGGAUAACGUCCGGAAACGGGCGCUAAUACCGCAUACGUCCUGAGGGAGAAAGUGGGGGAUCUUCGGACCUCACGCUAUCAGAUGAGCCUAGGUCGGAUUAGCUAGUUGGUGGGGUAAAGGCCUACCAAGGCGACGAUCCGUAACUGGUCUGAGAGGAUGAUCAGUCACACUGGAACUGAGACACGGUCCAGACUCCUACGGGAGGCAGCAGUGGGGAACAUUGGACAAUGGGCGAAAGCCUGAUCCAGCCAUGCCGCGUGUGUGAAGAAGGUCUUCGGAUUGUAAAGCACUUUAAGUUGGGAGGAAGGGCAGUAAGUUAAUACCUUGCUGUUUUGACGUUACCAACAGAAUAAGCACCGGCUAACUUCGUG